rnacentral:lncRNA from 1 species
UAAAAUAGAAAAUACUGGCUGAUAUUUUGAUAUUAUAUUGACCAACAUACUAAGUUAAUAACCAAAAACCUAUGAAAAUAUUAAAACUUUAUUUAUGAAAAGAAUGAUUUUUAAAGAAUUAGACAUCCCCUUGGAGACUGAAAAUAUUUUUACAACAGACUAAAUAUUUUUAAGUCAAUGAUAUGCACUUAAUAAACCUUCACCUGUUGCUCAAUUGGCUUUCCAAUGGCUGCCUUCCCCAUUCUCCUCAAGAAACAAAAUGUCAAAGAAUUAAAGAGAUAAGUGCAUAAAUAUGGAGAUAUCAUAAAAACCCCUUUUAUCCAUCUGAAUAGCUAGCAUAGCACUUAAAGAAAUGGGAUGAAGGGAGAAAUUAAAAUCAAGUUACACCAUCCUGAUGAUUAGAAAAUGCUUAGUAGCUCUGUCAUGGAUCAUCUUCCACUACCUACCUUCACCAACAUUUUACCAUGGACUAUGUAUGGUCCACAACAUUAUUGUCUUCCUCCCCUGUAU